CUUCAUUAAUAAUGGCUGGAAACAAACAGUAUACUGCACUGCUGCCCAGAUCAGUCUUUCUAAUGACUAUUCGCAUAUCAACACCAUCUGAGAAUAUGUAUGAAGCUUGAGCCCUAGAACUGAGCAGUUUCCAGGUUCCUGGGCACAUUCUGCUCUGCUGUGGAGAAAUCACCACCAAAGUCCUGAACUAAGAGAGAAGAAACAGAUGAGCAGGCUGAAAGGAUCAAAGAGCUGGACAAUCUUUGGAAGUAAAUGCAGCAGCUUGUAUUUCUUAAUGGAUAAGAAGAUCAUGAAGGAAGAGGAAUCACCUUAUUUAUGAACAUUUGCCAAAUCUGGAUGUACAAACAGGACUAAAAUAGCUGUGUAAACAUAAACAUUGCAGUAAGAAUAGAAUGAUCCAGAAGACCAAAUACUUGGGUUCUUCCAUUUUGUAGGAAAGCAGCUCAGAUGCCUAAAGAAAAGCUUGGACAACA